CGACUGUCAUCAUCCGGGUUAUCCGGUUAGGGCGAGUAAGAAACUACCGUUGGGAGUGGCGGAACAAUUUAAGAAUUAACCGCAGCUUUCAUCGGCCAUCUCUGAGAAAGAAAAAGCCGAACGAAUUUAAGGGUUAGGCUCGACCUUGACUUUCUCACUUUAUCCACAGCAGUCCUGUUAGGAGAAGUGUUGCUGCGCUAUCUUUUCCUUCUCUCCCCAGAACAACAAAGCAGAGUCAGAGACAUCCAUUUUGAACUGAACUCUUCGUUAUGGAGAUUGAUCAGAAUGUAAAAGACCAUUCCCUUGUUCUCUUGAAGCAGGGUGCAGAAGCUAGAGUAUACGAGUCAACUUUUGUAGGAAGGAGGUCAAUUAUCAAGGAACGUUUCUCAAAGAAGUAUAGGCAUCCGAUAUUAGACUCAAAAAUUAUCCUUAAACGCUUGAAUGCGGAGGCUCGGUGCAUGACAAAAGCAAGACGACUUGGUGUUUCCACACCAGUACUGUAUGCUGUUGACCCUGUACUACAUACCCUAACAUUUGAAUAUGUAGAGGGUCCCUCUGUUAAAGACAUAUUUCUUGGCUUUGGUUUGCAUGGUGUUGUCGAGGAAAGAAUGGAAAACAUUGCAACACAGAUUGGUGAUGCAGUUGGGAAAUUACAUGAUGGUGGCCUGAUUCAUGGUGACCUGACAACAUCAAAUAUGUUAAUCCGAAGUGGUACCAAUCAACUGGUCCUCAUUGACUUUGGUCUGAGCUUCACAUCAACUCUUCCAGAAGACAAGGCAGUUGACUUAUAUGUACUUGAGAGAGCUUUGCUGUCAAUGCAUUCCUUAUGCGGGAAUGUGAUGGAUCAGAUACUGGCUGCUUACAGGAAAUCAUCGAAGCAGUGGUCAUCCACAUUGAACAAGUUAGCUCAAGUGCGACAAAGAGGUCGAAAGCGCACCAUGGUUGGAUGAAUCCUCAGUGAUUGAAGAAUAUAAAAUAACAGUAUGUCAGAUAGGAGAAAUGCCAUUACAGAUCAAUGAAGACUACAAUAUAUUUUUAUUCAAAGCAAUAUUUCUAAAACUUGCCUGGGGGUGUUCAAGGCAUCCUCUAAAUCGGCUAGCAUCUUCUUCACUUCUGUAUCUCAACCGGCUAGCAUCUUCUUCUACAGGACAGAGAAGAGUUAAGGCAUAAAAAAAGGCCCACAGAUGUGUGAUCAUCAACAAAAAGAGGGAUCAAUGAGUUCAGAGUUUGCAGUCUCAUUACGCUGUUCUUGAUAUCCCAACUAAGUUUUUCAAAAGAAAAACA